rnacentral:rRNA from 1 species
UACGGAGGAUGCAAGCGUUAUCCGGAAUGAUUGGGCGUAAAGCGUCUGUAGGUGGUUUUUAAAGUCUUCUGUCAAAGAUCAGGGCUUAACCCUGGGCCGGCAGAAGAAACUUAAAAGCUUGAGUUCGGUAGGGGCAGAGGGAAUUCCCGGUGUAGCGGUGAAAUGCGUAGAGAUCGGGAAGAACACCAAUGGCGAAGGCACUCUGCUGGGCCGCGACUGACACUGAGAGACGAAAGCUAGGGGAGCAAACAGG